rnacentral:rRNA from 1 species
ACCCUACGGGGCGCAGCAGUGGGGAAUAUUGCACAAUGGGGGAAACCCUGAUGCAGCGACGCCGCGUGAGUGAAGAAGUAAUUCGUUACGUAAAGCUCUAUCAGCAGGGAAGAAAAUGACAGUACCUGACCAAGAAGCCCCGGCUAACUACGUGCCAGCAGCCGCGGUAAUACGUAGGGGGCAAGCGUUAUCCGGAUUCACUGGGCGUAAAGGGAGCGCAGGCGGCACGGCAAGUCUGAUGUGAAAACCCGGGGCUCAACCCCGGGACUGCAUUGGAAACUGCCGGGCUGGAGUGUCGGAGGGGG